AGAUAAGCACUCCCGGCUUUGCUGCAUGUUGGCGCCAGCCUCAGUCUUGUCCCUGCACAGCCACCUCCUGCCCUUGGGGACAAUAGGAAGAGGCCACCGUCAUAGCAAGAGGCUUCCGCUGCCCUGUUGCUGGGCCCCUCCUGCUUCUUAUACAGCAGGCUACACUGCGGAGAAUGGCAGGGGUACCUGGGGCCAACACACACUACAGCAUACAAAAACACACACACUCACUACACACAUACAACUUACACACACACCACAGCAUACAAAAACACACACACUCACUACACACAUACAGCUUACACACACAUACAACUUACACACACACCACAGCAAACAAAAACACACACACUCACUACACACACAACUUACACACACACCACAGCAUACAAAAACACACACACUACACACAUACAGCUUACACACACACCACAGCAUACAAAAACACACACACUACAUACAGCUUACACACACACCACAGCAUACAAAAACACACACACUACACACAUACAGCUUACACACACACCACAGCAAACAAAAACACACACACU
rnacentral:lncRNA from 1 species